UACAGAGGGUGCGAGCGUUAAUCGGGAUUAUUGGGCGUAAAGCGCAUGUAGGUGGUGAUGUAAGUUUGAUGUGAAAGCCCUGGGCUUAACCUGGGAAUGGCGUUGAAAACUGCAUGACUAGAGUCGGACAGAGGGCAGUGGAAUUUCCGGUGUAGCGGUGAAAUGCGUAGAGAUCGGGAGGAAGGCCGGUGGCGAAGGCGGCGCUCUGGAACGUUUCUGACGCUGAGGCUCGAAAGCGUGGGGAGCAAACAGG
rnacentral:rRNA from 1 species